AUCUUUGAACGCACCUUGCGCUCCUUGGUAUUCCGAGGAGCAUGCCUGUUUGAGUGUCAUUAAAUUCUCAAUCUCUACAACUUUGUGUUGUCUAGAUUGGAAGUGGGGGUCUCUUGUGUGGAAUUCAAUUUUCUCACUCCCCUUAAAUGCAUUAGCUGGGAAUGCCUCUGCAUAUCUGACUAUCAGUGUGAUAAUUAUCUAUGCUGUAGUUGUUGCAUGAGGGUAUCUGCUUCAUCAAUCGUCGCAAGACAAUUAUUGACCAUCUUGACCUCAAAUCAGGUAGGACUACCCGCUGAACUUAAGCAUAUCAAUAAGCGGAGGAA
rnacentral:rRNA from 1 species